rnacentral:rRNA from 1 species
GAUGAACGCUAGCGGGAGCUUAACACAUGCAAGUCGAGGGGCAGCAUAGGGUAGCAAUACUCUGAUGGCGACCGGCAAACGGGUGAGUAACGCGUAUGCAACCUACCCUGUACAGGGGGAUAACCCGGAGAAAUUCGGACUAAUAUCCCGUAAUAAUAUCCGGAGGCAUCUUUGGAUAUUAAAGUUCCGACGGUACGGGAUGGGCAUGCGUAACAUUAGCUGGUUGGUAAGGUAACGGCUUACCAAGGCUAUGAUGUUUAGGGGUCCUGAGAGGGUGGUCCCCCACACUGGUACUGAGACACGGACCAGACUCCUACGGGAGGCAGCAGUGAGGAAUAUUGGUCAAUGGGCGCAAGCCUGAACCAGCCAUCCCGCGUGCAGGAAGACGGCCCUAUGGGUUGUAAACUGCUUUUCCAGGGAGAGAAACUUACGCACGUGUUGCGUGACUGACGGUACCCUGGGAAUAAGCAUCGGCUAACUCCGUG